rnacentral:rRNA from 1 species
GAACCGUGCGAACGUUAUUCGGAAUUACUGGGCUUAAAGCGCGUGUAGGCGGGCCGGCACGUCGGUCGCUGAAAGCCCCCGGCUCAACCGGGGAAGCGGCGCCGAUACGACCGGCCUGGAGGGGGGUAGGGGGACCUGGAACUUCCGGUGGAGCGGUGAAAUGCGUUGAGAUCGGAAGGAACGCCCGUGGCGAAAGCGAGGUCCUGGACCCUUUCUGACGCUGAGACGCGAAAGCCAGGGGAGCGAACGGAAUUAGAUACCCCGGUAGUCCUGGCCGUAAACCAUGGGCACUGGGUAGGGGGCUCGCCGAUGGGCUCCCUGCCGUAGCGAAAGCGUGAAGUGCCCCGCCUGGGGAGUAUGGUCGCAAGGCUG